GGGAUCUCAAUCUCCUUCAUGAAUUCAAUCUCAUCACUCAACUCCUCCACCGCUACCCUUUCAUCUCCAUCGACACUGAGUUCCCAGGCGUCCUCAUCCGCCCCACCCUCCACCGCCACCCUCUCCGCCCUUCCGAUCACUACCUCCUCCUCAAGUCCAACGUCGACGCUCUCAACCUAAUCCAACUCGGUCUCACCCUCUCCGACGCCCACGGCAACCUCCCCACACUCGGCACCAAAAACUCCUUCAUCUGGGAGUUCAAUUUCAGGGAUUUCGACGUUGCACGCGACCCCCACGCCCCGGAUUCCAUCGAGCUCUUGAAACAACAGGGGAUUGAUUUCCACCGGAACAGAACUCAUGGGGUUUGCUCCUCCCGGUUCGCCGACUUGGUGAUGUCAUCCGGUCUUUUGUGCAAUGACUCCCUCACUUGGGUUACCUUUCACAGCGCCUAUGACUUUGGUUACUUGGUUAAGAUUCUCACCCGGACCAAACUGCCGUCUCGGCUUCAGGAUUUCUU
rnacentral:lncRNA from 1 species